rnacentral:rRNA from 1 species
UACGUAGGGAGCAAGCGUUGUCCGGAAUCAUUGGGCGUAAAGCGCGCGUAGGUGGCUUCGUAAGUCCGUUGUGAAAGUCAAAGGCUCAACCUUUGAAAGCCGAUGGAUACUGCGGAGCUAGAGUACGGAAGAGGCGAGUGGAAUUCCUGGUGUAGCGGUGGAAUGCGCAGAUAUCAGGAGGAACACCGGUGGCGAAGGCGGCUCACUGGACCGGUACUGACGCUGAUGCGCGAAAGCGUGGGGAGCAAACGGG